GCGUAACCGAUGGCAGCACAAACACCGUGACUGAGGAUCAGAGCCGUCAUGAGUGAAGCGGAGUCCCAUAUUAGAAAAAUGCCGAAUCCCAGAUCUUUUACCGAAGUGCCAGAGCAAAUAAGCAAACUGAAUCAUGCAACAUGAUUCAGUUGCAACAUGAUUCAUGCAACAUUUUUUUACUUGUAACAUGAUUCAUGUAACAGUAUUACUCUGCACUAAAAUGUGACAUUCCUGUUUCUUAAAUUGCUUGUGAUGAGAAUUGAGAAUGCUUAUUACUUUAAUAGUGAAGCCAGUG
rnacentral:lncRNA from 1 species